rnacentral:lncRNA from 1 species
AUCUGCUAAAUGUAUAAAUGUAAAUGAAAUCUGCUUCAUCCACAGGAGCUGAAAUUAUGUAAACAAGGCUUCAAAUGCCAUCUCUAUCCUGUAAUCCUGUAAUAUACACAUUUUAGCAUCCGGAAUGAAGCAGAGGUUGCAAAUGAACAUAAACGUGAUAAGCAGGUUACGUCUGAUCCUGACUGAGCAGGACUGAACAUAAUUACCGAAGGGCGAAAUCUCUUUCUUCACACAUCCAGACCCACUCUCAUCGUCUGGGCUGCAGGUGUGUGUGAAUCCUGUGCAAUGUCACAGUGUUAAAUCUGUAAGCCCUGAUCAGGAUGAAGUGUUUGAGUGAGCUCAGCAGUGCUUCAUUUUGCCCCGAACAGAAACAUCUGAUCCCUCGCUCUCCUGGAACGGCCCACAGACCUGCAGCCAGAUCAUCCGUCUGUCAGUGCACAUCAGCGGUGUGUGCUGACUGGAGGUUCUCCAGUGAAAAUUAAAUGUGAUUGGUGCAGCACAGCGAGACGAGGACGACCUGCUGCCAGAAGUAGAUGAGUGUCAUUCAUUACAGCUGUAACUUAUGCUUCUUCCCAAUCCACGCA